rnacentral:rRNA from 1 species
AGGGUUUGAUUCUGGCUCAGGACGAACGCUGGCGGCGCGCCUAACACAUGCAAGUCGAACGAGCGAGAGAGAGCUUGCUUUCUCAAGCGAGUGGCGAACGGGUGAGUAACGCGUGAGGAACCUGCCUCAAAGAGGGGGACAACAGUUGGAAACGACUGCUAAUACCGCAUAAGCCCACGACCCGGCAUCGGGUUGAGGGAAAAGGAGCAAUCCGCUUUGAGAUGGCCUCGCGCCCGAUUAGCUAGUUGGUGAGGUAAUGGCCCACCAAGGCAAUGAUCAGUAGCCGGUCUGAGAGGAUGAACGGCCACAUUGGGACUGAGACACGGCCCAA